GUGCCAGCAGCCGCGGUAAUACAGAGGGGGCAAGCGUUGUUCGGAAUUACUGGGCGUAAAGGGCGCGUAGGCGGCCUUCUAAGUCGAACGUGAAAUCCCCGGGCUCAACCCGGGAACUGCGUCCGAGACUGAAAGGCUCGAAUCCGGGAGAGGGAUGUGGAAUUCCAGGUGUAGCGGUGAAAUGCGUAGAUAUCUGGAGGAACAUCGGUGGCGAAGGCGGCAUCCUGGACCGGUAUUGACGCUGAGGCGCGAAAGCCAGGGGAGCAAACGGGAUUAGAUACCCGCGUAGUCC
rnacentral:rRNA from 1 species